GGACCCGCACAAGCAGUGGAGCAUGUGGUUUAAUUCGAAGAUACGCGCAGAACCUUACCAACACUUGACAUGUUUGUCGCGACUUUAAGAGAUUAAAGUCUUCGGUUCGGCCGGACGAAACACAGGUGCUGCAUGGCUGUCGUCAGCUCGUGUCGUGAGAUGUUGGGUUAAGUCCCGCAACGAGCGCAACCCUCACUUUUAGUUGCCAUCAUUUAGUUGGGCACUCUGAAAGAACUGCCAGUGAUAAGCUGGAGGAAGGUGGGGAUGACGUCAAGUCCUCAUGGCCCUUACGUGUUGGGCUACACACGUGCUACAAUGGUAUCUACAACAGGAAGCAAAACAGCGAUGUUAAGCAAAUCCUUAAAAGAUACCUCAGUUCGGAUUGCACUCUGCAACUCGAGUGCAUGAAGCUGGAAUUACUAGUAAUCGU
rnacentral:rRNA from 1 species